AUGUGGCUGUGUGUGCCAAGGCAAGCACACAGAUGUGGGGAAUGAUCCUGAGCUGCAUCCAACUGCCUGCCUCUGUUCAAGCUCUCCACUGGAAUAACACACCCCACAGGGCCCUGGAGCAGGUCUGCAGGAAGACACUGCCUCUCUGCAGGAACAGCCAUCCCUCUGGCAUUGAUUCCACACAGGCAGCUGAAACCCUGCAUGGUCAGGGAGCUUUACACCUUUCUUCCUGGGAUGACUGUGAAUCUUGCCUGUUCAGCACGCUGCCACAGAGAAUAUUGAUCUCUGCAGUUGUACCACAGUCAAUGACAGCUCCCUAGGAAACUUAGUUGGAGAAGUCUGCCCAACCAGAGGAAUCCAGGCAGGAAAAAUAACUAAAACAGUUAGGGAUUAAUCUAAAUUAAAUGUGUUUAUCCUCUUGCAUUAUAAACUUGGAGGAAAAUGAAGAGAUCCUGAGAUGUAAGAAGCAGUGACAUUUAGAAUCAGCAGCACCAUCUAUCACUGAAAUCAAAGUAAGCAUGAAUCUGGGGGAAUUAUUCCAUGACCAGUGAGUGGAUGGAUAAAUCUUCUCAAUAACACAUUCAGGGUCUCCCUAAUAAUACAGCACCCUGAUUUUCAGUUUAGGAAACAAAGGGAAUAUGCAAAAGGUAAAAGCUAUAGGUAAGCAUAAAUUCAGAUUACGAGUAAAAGGGAAAUUUGGAUUUUUCCCAUUGUCACAAC